AAGAAUUUCUGAUCCCUUUCAGUUCAUCUGCUGACACCCCAUUCCGGCCUCAGCUCUGAUUUCCUCGACCUCCGGUCUCACAGCUGUACUGACGCCCAGGAUGUCAGCAAGCAGUAGUAUGGCGUCUCCAAAGAGGGGAUGCUGAGGCUGAUGGCUGCAUGUGGAGUUCCCAACCAUGAGUGACAAGGGACAUGAAGAUGCUGUGCUUGACUCAGACGAAAAAAGCUCAGUCCUGGAGCUGGAGGUGUGUAACCAUAAGGGUUGAAGACAGGUACCUGAGCAAGUGCAUGUACGUGCAUGUCCAUAGCAGCAUCACUCCCUGGAGCAGAAUGAUGGAGAUGACCCAGAUGCCUGUCAACAGAAGAAUGGAUAAACAAAUAGUGGCAUAUUUAUAAAAAGGAAUAUUAUUCAGUGACGAACAAGAAGGUAAUGCUGAUACUGCUACAAUGUGUAUAGACUUUGAAAACGUCAUGCUAAUGGAAAGCAACCAGGCACAAACCAGUCAUAUGUUGUGUGAUUUCGUUUAUAUGGAAUAUGGAAAAUAGAUAAAUUCAUAGACUCAGAACUCACGUUGGUGGGUUUUCAGAGGGAGGGUGAGAGGAAAGCAGAGAAGAACAGCCACUGAGUUAGGGGUUUAAUAUGCAGUGAUGGAAAUGCUUUGAAACUAGGUAGAGGCAGUUGUUGUGCACCAUUGGGGACUUUCUAGAUGUCACCAACUUGUUUAC